CCUACGGGUGGCAGCAGUGAGGAAUAUUGGUCAAUGGACGAGAGUCUGAACCAGCCAAGUCGCGUGAAGGAUGACUGCCCUAUGGGUUGUAAACUUCUUUUAUAUGGGAAUAAAACGUUCCACGUGUGGGAUUUUGUAUGUACCAUAUGAAUAAGGAUCGGCUAACUCCGUGCCAGCAGCCGCGGUAAUACGGAGGAUCCGAGCGUUAUCCGGAUUUAUUGGGUUUAAAGGGAGCGUAGGUGGAUUGUUAAGUCCGUUGUGAAAGUUUGCGGCUCAACCGUAAAAUUGCAGUUGAAACUGGCAGUCUUGAGUGCAGUAGAGGUGGGCGGAAUUCGUGGUGUAGCGGUGAAAUGCUUAGAUAUCACGAAGAACUCCGAUUGCGAAGGCAGUUCACUGGACUGCAACUGACACUGAGGCUCGAAAGUGUGGGUAUCAAACAGGAUUAGAUACCCUAGUAGUC
rnacentral:rRNA from 1 species